GCCGGCGUGGCGAAAUCGGGUAAACGCGGAGACUUCACACAUCUCUGGGCUUCGGCCCUUCCCAGUUCGACUCUGGGCGCCGGCA
rnacentral:tRNA from 1 species